UCAGGACGAACGCUGGCGGCGUGCCUAACACAUGCAAGUUGAGCGGAGAUAUAUGGAGCUUGCUUUAUAUAACUUAGCAGCGAACGGGUGAGUAACACGUAGAUAAUCUAUCCUAUACUGGGGGAUAGCCCGAUGAAAGUUGGAUUAAUACCGCAUAUAGCUAUAUAGUUGCAUGAUUAUGUAGUGAAAGAUUUAUUGGUAUAGGAGGAGUCUGCGGCACAUUAGCUAGUAGGUGAGGUAAAGGCUUACCUAGGCGACGAUGUGUAGCCGGUCUGAGAGGAUGAACGGCCACAAUGGAACUGAGACACGGUCCAUACUCCUACGGGAGGCAGCAGUGGGGAAUAUUGCACAAUGGGGGAAACCCUGAUGCAGCAACGCCGCGUGAGUGAAGAAGGUUUUCGGAUUGUAAAGCUCUGUUAGCAGGGAAGAGGAAGGACGGUACCUGCAGAGGAAGCCACGGCUAACUACGUGCCAGCAGCCGCGGUAAUACGUAGGUGGCAAGCGUUGUUCGGA
rnacentral:rRNA from 1 species